AGGGGUAUAGCUCAGUUGGUAGAGCAUCGGUCUCCAAAACCGAGUGUCGUGAGUUCGAAUCUUACUGCCCCUGCCA
rnacentral:tRNA from 5 species